rnacentral:lncRNA from 1 species
UGCACCAUGUAGAUUUUUCACAUAUAUAAUCUGUUUAACAACCCUGGGAAGUUCAUAUUAUUAUCUCCAUUUUACAUAUGGUGAAACUGAGGCUUAGAGCAGUUAAAUAAAUUGCUUAAGAUCAUAUGCCUUAUUGGUGGCAGAUCUGGAAUUUUCUAACUCAGAACCCUGUUUUUAGCUGGACAUGGUAGUACAUGCGUGUAAUCCCAGCUACUCCCUCAGGAGGCUGAGGUGGGAGGAUCACUUAAUCCCAGGAGUUUGAGUUUUCCUCACUACUCAAGUAUACCUAAGUAGGAAAUAAAACUUAUUUUAAUAUUCAUCUAAGUGAAAUAUAAAAAGAAAACCUAUAAACCUAUUCUUCAAAAAACUAUGCUAUAUUUUAAUGCCAUCCCAAAAUAUCUUGAAUUAUCUAUGGCUCAUUUCUAUACCAUUGCCCCCUUUUCUUUAAAGCUGUAGCAUAUUGAGAAUUGAAUAUGACCUUUCUGAGCCACUCAUUUCUGAAUUUUUAAUUUUAAAUAAAAAUACUUUUUCAGAUUGUUUCAGAUUUUUAGAGAGGGUAAAACAAAAUAGAAACAUAAAAUAUGAAACAUACGAGUGUAUGUAUAUAUGUGUAUGCAUAUAUAUUGAUAUAUAAAAUGAAUGCCUUAACAGAUAAUGUGCAUUACAAUUGCUGUUUCACACUUUUAUUGGUAUUAUUUUAAUUACACUCUGACAAAAAGUUCAGCAUAAAGGAAAAUUGGCCAGGGCACAGUAGUUCAUGCGUAUAACCCCAGGGCUUUGGGAGGCCAAGGCAGGAGAAUCGCUUGAGACCAGGGGUUCGAGACCAGUCUGGACAACAUAGCAAGACCCAUCGCUAGCAAAAAUUUAAAAAUUAGCCCAGCAUAGCAGCAUAUAGCUGUAGGCCUAGCUACUCAGAAGACUGAGGUGAGAGGAUUGCUUCAGCCCAAGAGUAUGAGGCUACAGUGAUCUGUGAUCGUGCCACUGCACUCCAACCUGAGUGAUGGAAUGAGACCCUGUCUCUAAAAAAAAAAGGAAAGAGGAAAAUUCUUAGAAUGUAUGCACAACUUAAUAUCCUUGCUCGUUUGA